GGGUGAGAAUGUGCGUGGAUCCUGGGGGAGGCAGAAAAGACAGUGAGCCAGCCAGUUCCCGUUCAGACACUUGCCCUCUCCUGCUCUUCUC
rnacentral:miRNA from 1 species